UACGUAGGGGGCAAGCGUUAUCCGGAAUUAUUGGGCGUAAAGGGCGUGUAGGCGGGUAUUUAAGUCAGAUGUGAAAACGUGGGGCUCAACCCCAUGAUUGCAUCUGAUACUGGGUACCUUGAGGGCAGGAGAGGAAAGUGGAAUUCCUAGUGUAGCGGUGAAAUGCGUAGAUAUUAGGAGGAACACCAGUGGCGAAGGCGACUUUCUGGACUGCAACUGACGCUGAGGCGCGAAAGCGUGGGGAG
rnacentral:rRNA from 1 species